rnacentral:rRNA from 1 species
UACAGAGGGGGCAAGCGUUGUUCGGAAUUACUGGGCGUAAAGGGCGCGUAGGUGGCCUUCUAAGUUGAACGUGAAAUCCCUGGGCUCAACCCAGGAACUGCGUCCAAGACUGGGAGGCUUGAAUCCGUGAGAGGGAUGCGGAAUUCCAGGUGUAGCGGUGAAAUGCGUAGAUAUCUGGAGGAACACCGGUGGCGAAGGCGACAUCCUGGACCGGUAUUGACGCUGAGGCGCGAAAGCCAGGGGAGCAAACGGG